GGACCGCAGCCAGGGAGCCGUGAGCUGCCUUUUUUAAGGGGCCCUGGACAUAAACAGCACUUUCCAUAAUGGGCACCCGGCACAGAGGUCUAAAAAAAAUAAAAAGAGAAACAGCACAGAAGAGGCUAAAGUGAGAGAGAAAAAAAAGUCAAGUUCUAAUCCCCUCCCUGAUGGGCUAAAAUACCAGACGCCUGAUCCCCAGCCCUCUGUGGCCCCCAUUUCCUAAGGUCCUCAAAACCAGGAAUCUCUGUAGGCAGGACUCAGCACCACUACCUGAGACUCAGGCUCCACUGAGCUGCAAGCGGGAUGUUAAGAGUGAAACUACCUUGGGGUUGGAAAGAAGCUCUUCAAGAAGUGAUGGGGACCAUGCCGUCCCCUCCUCCCCUGCGGACCUGUCAAGGAAAAAGGCAGAUCUCCUCGUGGUAGAGAGGACUCGGCAGCAGCAUCUCAAACACACCUGCAAGGCAGGCUCACCUGAUCGCGGGCAGGACCACAUCGCUGCCUGAUGGAAAGAACCAUCCAGUUUAGAGGGAAAACCUCUUUUAAAUAGAUUCAUUUGAAAAUCUUCAUGAUAUAAGGUUGGAAAAAUUUUUGCAGAUUAAAAAUAGAUCCAACUUUCUUUAAUAAUAACAACUCAAAGGGAGAAAUAAAGUAUUGUUUCUUUAGAUAACAGCC
ensembl:lncRNA